rnacentral:rRNA from 1 species
AUUGAACGCUGGCGGCAGGCUUAACACAUGCAAGUCGAGCGAGCGGCGGACGGGUGAGUAAUGUCUGGGAAACUGCCUGAUGGAGGGGGAUAACUACUGGAAACGGUAGCUAAUACCGCAUACCCUCAGAAGUGCCCAGAUGGGAUUAGCUAGUAUGUGGGGUAAUGGCGCACCUGGGCGACUAUCCCUAGCUGGUAUGAGAGGAUGACCAGCCACAAUGUAAUGGGGACACGGUCCAGAGUGCUACGAGAGGCAGCAGGGGGGAAUAGUGCACAAGGGGAGCAAGCCUGAUGCUGUCGUUCCGCGUGUGUGCAGAAGGCCUUCGGGUUGUAAAGCACUUUCAGCGAGGAGGCGUUACUCGCAGAAGAAGCACCGGCUAACUCCGUGACAGCAGCCGCGGUAAUAC